UAGGGAAUCUUCCACAAUGGGCGAAAGCCUGAUGGAGCGACGCCGCGUGUGUGAUGAAGGGUUUCGGCUCGUAAAACACUGUUGUAAGAGAAGAAUGACAUUGAGAGUAACUGUUCAAUGUGUGACGGUAUCUUACCAGAAAGGAACGGCUAAAUACGNGCCAG
rnacentral:rRNA from 1 species